rnacentral:tRNA from 1 species
GAUCGGGGGUCCGAGUGGUGAGGAAGCCGCCUGCAAAGCGGCGCACGCCGGUUCGAUUCCGGUCCCGGUCU